AUUGAACGCUGGCGGCAUGCCUUACACAUGCAAGUCGAACGGCAGCACGGGAGCAAUCCUGGUGGCGAGUGGCGAACGGGUGAGUAAAGUAUCGGAACGUGCCCAGUCGUGGGGGAUAACGUAGCGAAAGUUACGCUAAUACCGCAUACGAUCUAUGGAUGAAAGCGGGGGAUCGCAAGACCUCGCGCGAUUGGAGCGGCCGAUAUCAGAUUAGGUGGUUGGUGGGGUAAAGGCUCACCAAGCCGACGAUCUGUAGCUGGUUUGACAGGACGACCAGCCACACUGGGACUGAGACACGGCCCAGACUCCUACGGGAGGCAGCAGUGGGGAAUUUUGGACAAUGGGCGAAAGCCUGAUCCAGCCAUGCCGCGUGCAGGAUGAAGGCCUUCGGGUUGUAAACUGCUUUUGUACGGAACGAAAAGGUUUGGCCUAAUAAGCUGAGCUCAUGACGGUACCGUAAGAAUAAGCACCGGCUAACUACGUGCCAGCCGCCGCGGUAA
rnacentral:rRNA from 1 species